CCCCUGAUUAUAUCUAAGGGGAUUAUUCACUAAGCGCUGACAACACAAUAUCUUAAUGUACUAAAAUGUUCACAGUUGAGGAAGUGGUCUCUUACUCAGCCACAUAGACAAGGCAUAUUCCAUUAGAUCCGAAAACUAGAAACAGUCUAUAUCACAAGAAUACAAAAUUCAAUAAUAUAUUAAUAAUUCAAUUGUUAUGAACUAUGCUCUGAAGUAUGAUAUAUACACAAACACAAUGCUUUUGUAAUUUAGUUUUUGGUGGUCCUAUGUAUUAUUAAAAAACCCUAUACAAACAAACCAUCUAUGCCUUUGUUCCUAUAGCCUGUUUUUGCAGCUCAUUAGCUUCAAGUUUAGUUGUGAUGGACAAACCACUUGCAAAGUGUGGAACAAAAUGUU